CACGGAGGAUCCGAGCGUUAUCCGGAAUUAUUGGGUUUAAAGGGUGCGUAGGCGGCCAUUUAAGUCAGCGGUGAAAUUUUGCAGCUUAACUGUAACAGUGCCGUUGAUACUGGGGAGCUAGGAUUUGGUUGCUGUGGGUGGAAUGUGUGGUGUAGCGGUGAAAUGCUUAGAGAUCACACAGAAUAUCGAUUGCGAAGGCAGCUCACAAAGCCAAGAUUGACGCUGAGGCACGAAAGUGUGGGGAUCAAACAGGAUUAGA
rnacentral:rRNA from 1 species